UACGUAGGGGGCGAGCGUUGUCCGGAUUCAUUGGGCGUAAAGCGCUUUAAGGCGGUUCGCUAAGUCGGGUGUGAAACCUCCAGGCUCAACCUGGAGACGCCACUCGAUACUGGCGUGACUAGAGUUCGGUAGGGGACCACGGAAUUCCUGGUGGUAGCGGUGAAAUGACGCAGAUAUCAGGAGGAACACCAGUGGCGAAGGCGGUGGUCUGGGCCGAUACUGACGCUGUAGAGCGAAAGCGUGGGGAGCGAACAGG
rnacentral:rRNA from 1 species